GAAACCCUAGAUAAAUCAGAUCGUUGAAUUGGUUAGUUUACAGAAGCGGGAUGGCGGAGCACUUAGCAUCUAUCUUCGGAACAGAGAAGGAUAGAGUUAACUGUCCGUUCUAUUUCAAGAUCGGAGCUUGCCGUCAUGGAGAUCGGUGCUCCAGGCUUCACACUAAACCUAGUAUUAGCCCCACUCUCCUUCUCUCCAACAUGUACCAACGCCCUGACAUGAUCACUCCCGGCGUUGACCCCCAAGGCCAAGCUCUUGACCCCCGCAAGAUCCAAGACCACUUCGAGGAUUUUUAUGAGGAUUUAUUUGAGGAGCUUAGCAAGUACGGCGAGAUCGAGAGCUUGAACAUUUGUGACAAUUUGGCGGACCACAUGGUGGGUAAUGUGUAUGUUCAGUUCAGAGAGGAAGAGCAUGCUGCCAACGCGCUUCGAAAUCUCAAUGGAAGGUUUUAUGCAGGGCGUCCCAUCAUUGUUGAUUUCUCCCCAGUGACUGAUUUUCGAGAAGCCACUUGUAGGCAGUAUGAGGAAAACGUAUGCAAUCGAGGUGGCUACUGUAACUUCAUGCAUUUGAAGAAGAUUAGCAGGGACUUGAGGAGGCGACUGUUUGGGAGAAAUAGGAGAAGGCGCAGCCGCAGUCGAAGCAGGAGUCGUAGUCCACAUAAACAUCGUGGUUAUGAGGAGCGCGCACAUGGAGGCCGUGGUUCAGGUAGACGUGAUGAUGAAAGAGAUCAUCGCUACCAUGAUAGGGGCAGGAGGCCUAGAAGCCGAAGUCCUGGACGUAAGGGGGGACGAAGCAGAAGCCCAGGGUUGAGGAGGAAUAGGAGUCCAGUUAGAGAAAGUAGUGCUGAAAGAAGGGCUAAGAUUGAGCAAUGGAACAGGGAAAAGGAGGAGGCAGAAUCUGGUCAUAAGAUUGAUAAUAGUAACGACGACGAUGACAGGAACAACAACGGCUUUGCAACUGAUGAUGGUCAAUAUAGUGAUCCUCAGCAGCAGUGACAGUGGUGAAAACAACUACUGACUUGAUUGGAGAGUUUGUCUGGUGGAGUACAGGUUCACUGUCGUGUUGUUGAAAGUUGGUGUCGUUGUCUGCAGAGCAUGUUUACAGGAUUGUAAUGCUACAUUGUGGAAGUAUUCAGAGGCUAGUGGACCUAACUUCAAGAAAAUGAGCUACGGAUUGUAUGAUCUUGCUGUUUGAAGAAUAGAUUGAUAUUUAGGGAUGUUAAGUUUUUAAGUUAUUUAAAUGCAAUGUUAAAACGUUUUCGUAUGGGAUUGUGUUGUACCUUGUCACAGAAUUUUAUGCUAUGGC